GGUAACACUGUGGCAGAAGCGGCGGUAAUGUAGAGGGGGCGGGGUGUAAGCUGAAUUGAUGGGCGUAAAGCGGGCGUAGACGGUGUCGUAAGUCGGGUGUGAAAGCCCCUGGCUCAACCGGGGAAUUGCAUUCGAGACUGCGGGGCUAGGGUGCGGAAGAGGGAAGCGGAAUUUCCGGUGUAGCGGUUAAAUGCGUAGAUAUCGGAAGGAACAUCAGUGGCGAAAGCGGCUUCCUGGUCCAGCACCGACGUUCAGGCACGAAAGCGUGGGGAGCAAACAGGAUUAGAUACCCGGGUAGUC
rnacentral:rRNA from 1 species